ACGGCGAGUGAGCGGCAAAGCUCAAAUUUGAAAUCUGGUACCUUUGGUGCCCGAGUUGUAAUUUGGAGAGUACCACUUUGGGACUGUACUUUGCCUAUGUUCCUUGGAACAGGACGUCAUGGAGGGUGAGAAUCCCGUGUGGCGAGGGUGUCAGUUCUUUGUAAAGGGUGCUCGAAGAGUCGAGUUGUUUGGGAAUGCAGCUCUAAGUGGGUGGUAAAUUCCAUCUAAAGCUAAAUACAGGCGAGAGACCGAUAGCGAACAAGUACAGUGAUGGAAAGAUGAAAAGAACUUUGAAAAGAGAGUGAAAAAGUACGUGAAAUUGUUGAAAGGGAAGGGCAUUUGAUCAGACAUGGUGUUUUGCGCCCCUUGCCUCUCGUGGGCUUGGGACUCUCGCAGCUCACUGGGCCAGCAUCGGUUUUGGCGGCCGGAAAAAACCUAGGGAAUGUGGCUCUGCGCCUCGGUGUAGAGUGUUAUAGCCCUGGGGAAUACGGCCAGCCGGGACCGAGGACUGCGAUACUUGUUAUCUAGGAUGCUGGCAUAAUGGUUAUAUGCCGCCCGUC
rnacentral:rRNA from 1 species